CCUGCCAUUGCCCAGUACGGCGAGUGAGCGGCAACAGCUCAAAUUUGAAAUCUGGUCCCCUCUGGGGGCCCGAGUUGUAAUUUGAAGAGGAUGCUUUUGGCGAGGCGCCGUCCGAGUUCCCUGGAACGGGACGCCGCAGAGGGUGAGAGCCCCGUACGGUCGGACGCCGAGCCUCUGUAAAGCUCCUUCGACGAGUCGAGUAGUUUGGGAAUGCUGCUCAAAAUGGGAGGUAAACCCCUUCUAAAGCUAAAUACUGGCCAGAGACCGAUAGCGCACAAGUAGAGUGAUCGAAAGAUGAAAAGCACUUUGAAAAGAGAGUUAAAAAGCACGUGAAAUUGUUAAAAGGGAAGCGCUUGCGACCAGACUUGCGCCCGUCGGAUCAACCGUCGCUUGCGGCGGCGCACUCCGGCGGGCUCAGGCCAGCAUCAGUUCGCUCGGGGGGAGAAAGGCGGCGGGAAUGUGGCUCUUCGGAGUGUUAUAGCCCGCCGUGUAAUACCCUCGGGCGGACUGAGGACCGCGCGUAUGCAAGGAUGCUGGCGUAAUGGUCGUCAGCGACCCGUCUUGAAAAAAAGAACCACA
rnacentral:rRNA from 1 species